AGGAUGCAGUGUGGAGCGGCCGGGCGCUGACGGCGGCGGUGCGGCUGCGGGCGGAGCGGCAGCAGGCCGGCCUGCGAGGAGCGCGGCGGGGAAGGUAGCGGCAGGCCCGGGCGGCGCUGCCGGCGGAGAGGACCCGGCAGCCGGGCCUGCGUGGGGCCGCGCGCCGCGGCGUCGACUUCCUUCGCGCCGAGCAGGACAGCGCAGGGCCAUGGCCGAGGCGGCCGCGGCUCCGGUAAGGGCGGCCCGCGCGCUUGGCCUGCGCGGCCUCGGGCCCCGGAAGGCCGGGGCCCAGCACACUGUGCCGCAGGCCCCAGGAGGGCUUCCGGGCCAGACCGGGCCUGCGGGUCCUGUGGCUGCGGCGGGCGGCCGCGAGGUCCUCCGGGGCCUACCGGACCGGGUGGAGCCGAGCGCAGGGAACGGCCGUCCGCGCCCGGGAGGCCGACCUGCGCCAAGUUCCCGGUCUGCGCGUCCCCGGGCCGGGCUCCUUCCUCAGCGCCGGGCCGGUGCUUCCCUCUCCCAGCUCCCCCCAGCGGCCUGGUGGCACCUGGGAGGUGUCCGACGUCGAUUCUGUAGACAGUGAGCACCCACUAUGUGCCCAACCCUCCUCAGGCGGCACGCGAGGACUGCUCGUAUUUGUCCAGCCAGGCUGGCGCUGCACUCAGCCCGGUUUAGGCAUGAUUUUGUCUGCACUGCAAACCUGUGGGGUAGUAACUAUUAUAGUUAUUAUUUCAUACAAAAGAAAAGCUGAAGGCCCAACGAAGUUAACUUGCCAAGAAUCUCAGCGAGAAAAGUGUGGGAAGACAGUGCUCUCACAGUUCAAUGUCUGUAAUAAGGAAAGCAGUCCAGGUACACGAGUAGCCUUAUGGUCGAACAGAAAGAGGUCGUAGCCAACCUGGUGGAGGUUCGAAUGCAGGUGCUUAGCAGACUCUGGUGCUCCUCCCGCCCAGCCAGGUAAUCUGUGCUUCUGUGAGUUGAGUUAGCUAGGGUUUCUAGGGCUUGGGCAAAGAGAGGCAAGGGCCAGACACAGGACAGUGCAAAACUGGUCCACAAGCCUGGAGAUAUGGUUUUGGAUAUGAGGCUGCAGAAAUGGAAGGGGCUGGGAAGGCCUGGGCUUCGUCAUAUGGGUAGGAAAGAGUUGAAGGAAUUGGCAUCAGUGACUCCGGUCUCAGAGUACUGGCUUCCCUAGCUGUUUGGCAAUUGACUAUCCCACCUUCGCUUUAAGUUAGCAAGGUGCUAGGCUUCAGUAGAGCACAACCCCUACUUCCAACUACACAGGUCAAAGACCAUGGACCCCAUUUAAAAAAAAAAAUU
rnacentral:lncRNA from 1 species